AAGUAUGAAGCGAUUUAUCGCAAUUAGUUUCGACCUAAUCUUAGGUAAAAUUUACCCUUACUUU
rnacentral:tRNA from 1 species